UACAGAGGGGGCAAGCGUUGUUCGGAAUUACUGGGCGUAAAGGGCGCGUAGGCGGCCUUCUAAGUCGAACGUGAAAUCCCCGGGCUCAACCCGGGAACUGCGUCCGAUACUGGAAGGCUUGAAUCCGGGAGAGGGAUGCGGAAUUCCAGGUGUAGCGGUGAAAUGCGUAGAUAUCUGGAGGAACACCGGUGGCGAAGGCGGUUCUCUGGGCAUGACCUGACGCUGAGGAGCGAAAGUGUGGGGAGCGAACAGG
rnacentral:rRNA from 1 species